rnacentral:lncRNA from 1 species
CAUUUUAUUUUAUUUCUCUAUAGAAAAAUUAUUUCAGACUUUAUUUGUUGGAUUUAAAAUGUUUACCUUGGCUAGACACAGUAGCUCACAGCUGUCAUCCCAAUACUUUGGGAGGCUGAGGUGGGAGGAUUGCUUGAGCUCAGGAGUUUUCACUUUGAGCAUGAGCAGAACCUGAGAUUUGAUUCUAACCUUCACUGGGCAUGGCAAAGGAGAAGGAUGCCACUCUUGUGAUUC